ACGAAUAAGAGAUAAUGCGAUACGGUCCCUAAGCUGUGCGUGAAAAAGAAACUGCUAACGCGGAAGCGUCGCGUCUUUUAAGGUGGAACGAAAAGCGUCAAUAAGAAGCUGCGAAUAAGAAGCUAGAUUCAGCCUCGUACAAAAACGACAAGAAACUUCACAGGCAGAUCAACAUGCAAUUUGAAGGCGUGUGAUAAAAUACAGAGAGGUGAAGUAGUGUGUCUUUCCAGAUCCCCAAAUCAUUCCCCCUUAAAAGAUGAGCCUGAAGAGGAGAUUUGGGAAGAUGCUGUUUCAUAAGUCGCUUUGCCAGAUCACCUGUGGUCGGGAUGUCUGCUAACAAGAUGCCUUGCUGGUCUGAGCGAGUUUAAACCUUACACAGACAGUCCAGAAGUUCUGAAGUCCAUCUUCGAUUUCAUUGAUGUUGUCAUCGUAUUAAGUACAGCAUGAGCCAGAAUAGAUGGGUGGUGGUGGCCAUAAGAAGACUGUCAACUAAACCAACAACAAAAUUCAUAUUUGCAGUUUUUCUUGAAUAAAGUUUUUCUAUUCAGAUUAAUAAAAUGACUUUUAAACAUGA